GAUGAACGCUGGCGGCGUGCCUAGUACAUGCAAGUCGAACGCUUCACAUAUGUGAAGAGUGGCGAACGGGUGAGUAAUACAUAAGUAACCUGGCCUUUACAGGGGGAUAACUGUUGGAAACGAUAGCUAAGACCGCAUAGGUGUCAUAACCGCAUGGAGAUGAUAUGAAAUAUGCUACGGCAUAGGUAGAGGAUGGACUUAUGGCGCAUUAGCUAGUUGGAGGGGUAACGGCCCACCAAGGCGACGAUGCGUAGCCGACCUGAGAGGGUGACCGGCCACACUGGGACUGAGACACGGCCCAGACUCCUACGGGAGGCAGCAGUAGGGAAUUUUCGGCAAUGGGGGAAACCCUGACCGAGCAACGCCGCGUGAAGGAAGAAGUAAUUCGUUAUGUAAACUUCUGUCAUAGAGGAAGAACGGUGCGUGUAGGGAAUGACAUGCAAGUGACGGUACUCUAUAAGAAAGCCACGGCUAACUACGUGCCAGCAGCCGCGGUAAUACGUAGGUGGCGAGCGUUAUCCGGAAUUAUUGGGCGUAAAGAGGGAGCAGGCGGCACUAAGGGUCUGUGGUGAAAGAUCGAAGCUUAACUUCGGUAAGCCAUGGAAACCGUAGAGCUAGAGUGUGUGAGAGGAUCGUGGAAUUCCAUGUGUAGCGGUGAAAUGCGUAGAUAUAUGGAGGAACACCAGUGGCGAAGGCGACGAUCUGGCGCAUAACUGACGCUCAGUCCCGAAAGCGUGGGGAGCAAAUAGGAUUAGAUACCCUAGUAGUCCACGCCGUAA
rnacentral:rRNA from 1 species